ACACCCUCAACUCUCAUGGUCUGCCAUGAUGAGCUUGGACUUUGGGGGUCUUGCCGGCCCGGCGUCGGCUCCCCUAAAAUGGAUCAGCUUGCCAGUGUUUGGUGGCAUCACAGGUGUGAUAACUAUCUACGCUUGUGGUUCCCUGCCAUGUAACCUUCAGUGAUGGAGGUUCGCUGGAGCUUACAGAUGUCUCUCCUUGUGAGGACAACUUUGAAC
rnacentral:misc_RNA from 1 species